CAUGCACCGGUGGGGUCCCUUGGCCUGGCCUGCACUCUCUCACAAUCCGGGACCCCUUGGGGAUGCUGGACUGCCGGUUUCGGCCUGAUCUCGCAGGCCAGGCUGAGGGACCCCACCGGUGCAUG
rnacentral:pre_miRNA from 1 species